rnacentral:rRNA from 1 species
GCGUGAGUGAAGAAGGCCCUAGGGUUGUAAAGCUCUUUCGCCAGGGAAGAUAAUGACGGUACCUGGUAAAGAAGUCCCGGCUAACUCCGUGCCAGCAGCCGCGGUAAUACGGAGGGGACUAGCGUUGUUCGGAAUUACUGGGCGUAAAGAGUACGUAGGCGGCUUGCCAAGUUGGAUGUGAAAGCCCGGGGCUCAACCCCGGAACUGCAUUCAAAACUGGUUGGCUAGAGAUCGGAAGAGGUAAGUGGAAUUCCCAGUGUAGAGGUGAAAUUCGU